UAGUUUACACAGACCCACCGCGGUCGCAUGUGAAAAGGAGUCCCAUAAGAUGGUCUGUUUUGUCAAUUUACUCAAUGUAUCUCACCACCCCGGUAUACAAAUCAUUAGUCCAGGUAAAGUCCCACUCACCUGUCUCAGGUCUUAAUUAAAGGCCAUGGUCCUCCAGUCCUAGAUAACUUCGGUUAGAGGGUUUUUAAAGGAGGAUACAAGGAAAGAAGGAGACAGUUUUGCAAUUAAGAAGAGUAACGUUAGUGACGUGGCUAUGUUGUUGUGACAAAUGAUAACGUUACUAACUAACCCAAACAACAAUAUACAUAUCCAUUUAACCACAUGGCUUGAAUUUGACAACAUUUUGAGGGACCAGACGAUCGGCUCCCUUGGUUUUGAUAACAGGCGCGAGGUGGACAUUGAUACUGAAGUUUAUAUCUGGUUUCAUUAGAUAGAAACGGCUGAAAUAGUAGGCUAGUCUGGAGGGGCUGUUCAUUCCAACAUAGAGCCGUAGCUGGCGUCGAAGCGGAGAAGCCCCAAGUCGUUGAGAGCCAGGAAACACUCCCCUGGGCCAUUGAGGAACGCCAGGCAGUGGAUCCUCGUCAUGGCCGCCCGGUCCAUCAAUACACCGUCCUUGAAAAAUAUAUCCUCUGAUUUUAGCAAAUGAGAGGUGGAGUGGCAAAAAGGAUCCCCAAGGGGCAUGCAAUAUAUACAAAUAUCAUUUUUAUGUGAAAGAUUUUAGGAAAAGACAUUCAUAGCCUAAAUAAUAAGGGUAUACAUUUCCAUCAAUGUGUUGUAUAAUAAGUAACAGCAAUUAAUAAAAUAGUUUUUAAUAACGCCUGAUUUUAAGAACCUGUAAUGUA